rnacentral:rRNA from 1 species
CCUACGGGUGGCAGCAGUCGAGAAUUAUUCACAAUGGGGGAAACCCUGAUGGUGCGACGCCGCGUGGGGGAAUGAAGGUCUUCGGAUUGUAAACCCCUGUCAUGUGGGAGCAAAUUAAAAAGAUAGUACCACAAGAGGAAGAGACGGCUAACUCUGUGCCAGCAGCCGCGGUAAUCCAGAGGUCUCAAGCGUUGUUCGGAAUCACUGGGCGUAAAGCGUGCGUAGGCUGUUUCGUAAGUCGUGUGUGAAAGGCGAGGGCUCAACCCGCGGACGGCACAGUAUACUGCGAGACUAGAGUAAUGGAGGGGGAACCGGAAUUCUCGGUGUAGCAGUGAAAUGCGUAGAUAUCGAGAGGAACACUCGUGGCGAAGGCGGGUUCCUGGACAUUAACUGACGCUGAGGCACGAAGGCCAGGGGAGCGAAAGGGAUUAGAUACCCCUGUAGUC